rnacentral:misc_RNA from 1 species
GAUGAAGAACGUAGCGAAAUGCGAUAAGUAGUGUGAAUUACAGAAUUCAGUGAAUCAUCGAAUCUUUGAACGCACAUUGCGCCCCUUGGUAUUCCAUGGGGCAUGCCUGUUCGAGCGUCAUUUGUACCUUCAAGCCUUGCUUGGUGUUGGGUGUUUGUCUCGCCUCUGCGCGCAGACUCGCCUCAAAACAAUUGGCAGCCGGCGUAUUGAUUUCGGAGCGCAGUACAUCUCGCGCUUUGCACUCAGAACGACGACGUCCAAAAGUACAUUUUUACACUCUUGACCUCGGAUCAGGUAGGGAUACCCGCUGAACUUAAGCAUAUCAAUAAGCGGAGGA